AGGCUGCAACUCGCCUGCAUGAAGUUGGAAUUGCUAGUAAUCGCGAAUCAGAAUGUCGCGGUGAAUACGUUCCCGGGCCUUGUACACACCGCCCGUCACACCAUGAGAGUCGAUAACACCCGAAGCCUGUGAGCUAACCGCAAGGGGGCAGCAGUCGAAGGUGGGGUUNAUGAUUGGGGUGAAGUCGUAACAAGGUAGC
rnacentral:rRNA from 1 species